rnacentral:rRNA from 1 species
UACAGAGGUCUCAAGCGUUGUUCGGAUUCAUUGGGCGUAAAGGGUGCGUAGGCGGCGCGGUAAGUCGGGUGUGAAAUCUCGGAGCUUAACUCCGAAACUGCAUUCGAUACUGCCGUGCUUGAGGACUGGAGAGGAGACUGGAAUUUACGGUGUAGCGGUGAAAUGCGUAGAUAUCUGGAGGAACACCGGUGGCGAAGGCGACAUCCUGGACCGGUAUUGACGCUGAGGCGCGAAAGCCAGGGGAGCAAACGGG